rnacentral:rRNA from 1 species
GCUUGCUCCGCUGACGACCGGCGCACGGGUGCGCACCGCGUAUGGAACCUACCUUCUACAGGGGAAUAGCCUUUGGAAACGAAGAUUAAUGCCCCAUAGUAUCAUUAUACAGCAUUGUAUUUUGAUUAAAGCCUUCGGGCGGUGGAAGAUGGCCAUGCGUCCCAUUAGCUUGAUGGUAAGGUAACGGCUUACCAUGGCUACGAUGGGUAGGGGCCCUGAGAGGGGGAUCCCCCACACUGGUACUGAGACACGGACCAGACUCCUACGGGAGGCAGCAGUGAGGAAUAUUGGACAAUGGAGGGGACUCUGAUCCAGCCAUGCCGCGUGCAGGAAGAAUGCCCUAUGGGUAGUAAACUGCUUUUAUACGGGAAGAAAAAGGGCUACGUGUAGCCUGUUGACGGUACCGUAAGAAUAAGGACCGGCUAACUCCGUGCCAGCAGCCGCGGUAAUACGGAGGGUCCGAGCGUUAUCCGGAAUUAUUGGGUUUAAAGGGUCCGUAGGCGGGCAGCUAAGUCAGAGGUGAAAGUUUGCAGCUCAACUGUAAAAUUGCCUUUGAUACUGGUUGUCUUGAGUUAUAGUGAAGUUGCCGGAAUAUGUAGUGUAGCGGUGAAAUGCAUAGAUAUUACAUAGAACACCGAUUGCGAAGGCAGGUGACUAACUGUAUACUGACGCUGAUGGACGAAAGCGUGGGGAGCGAACAGGAUUAGAUACCCUGGUAGUCCACGCCGUAAACGAUGGAUACUAGCUGUCCGGGUCCUUGAGACCUGGGCGGCCAAGCGAAAGUGAUAAGUAUCCCACCUGGGGAGUACGUUCGCAAGAAUGAAACUCAAAGGAAUUGACGGGGGCCCGCACAAGCGGU